rnacentral:rRNA from 1 species
UCCGCAGGCGGGCAAUUAAGUCAGAGGUGAAAUCCCACAGCUCAACUGUGGAACUGCCUUUGAUACUGGUUGUCUUGAGUUAUAGUGAAGUAGAUAGAAUAUGUAGUGUAGCGGUGAAAUGCAUAGAUAUUACAUAGAAUACCGAUUGCGAAGGCAGUCUACUAACUAUAUACUGACGCUGAUGGACGAAAGCGUGGGGAGCGAACAGGUUUAGAUACCCUGGUAGUCC